UAUUAUUUUAUUUGAGGAAAAAUAAAUAGACUGGAGUAGUAAUAGUUAUGUUCUUAAAACUCAAAGAAUUUGGCGGUAUUUUAGUCUUUUCAGAGGGAUCUGUCCUGUAAUUGACAGCACACGUUUAAUUUACUUUAUUUUGUAAUCAGUUUGUAUACCGCCGUCAUAAGAAUAUCUUUUUGGAGGGCUGAAAUUUUCUGAAGGUAGGAGUAAAGAAUAUGUCAGGUCAAGGUGCAGCUAAUGGUAAAGUAGAGAUGGAUCACAAUAACAGGAGUUAUAUGAAUAAAAUUAAAUGGAUGGUUUUUGAAGGUGGAUUUGAUUGUAAAUUUAUUUUUAAAUGAUAAAUUGGUUGUGGCUCUAAAAUGUGUACACAUCGCCCGUCGCUCUCGUUAAAUAUGAG
rnacentral:rRNA from 1 species